UUGAAAGGGAAACGAUUGAAGUCAGUCGUACCGAUGAGAAAUCAACUUUUUUGAGUGCGAUUUUGUGGAUCGUGAAGAGCUUAACGGCCUUCUUAUUUGCAAAUUUGUGCUCUUGGGGUGUACUUGCUCGUAUGGUAAGUCAACAUCAAUUUUGAUCGUUAUAAAAUGAUUGGGGAAAUGUAGCUUCGAUCUCGUAUUGAAGUGUUAUAGACCCUGAUAGAUGUAACGAUUGGGAUUGAGGAUUGCAAUGAAUGCCCUUCGAGGCUAUUCGUCUGAUCUCUGGAGGUCACUUUGGUGUCGAAAGCUUGCUUUCGGCGUUAAGGAUGGCUAUCAAAAGGUUAGAACGGGAUUAAAUUCUUUAAGGAUGUUAACGUAAAUCACUAGCCACCUAAUUAA
rnacentral:rRNA from 1 species